rnacentral:rRNA from 1 species
GGGGUGCUCGAGUGGCGAACGGGUGAGUAACACGUGAGUAACCUGCCUUUGACUUUGGGAUAACUUCAGGAAACUGGGGCUAAUACCGGAUAGGAGCUCCUGCUGCAUGGUGGGGGUUGGAAAGUUUCGGCGGUUGGGGAUGGACUCGCGGCUUAUCAGCUUGUUGGUGGGGUAGUGGCUUACCAAGGCUUUGACGGGUAGCCGGCCUGAGAGGGUGACCGGCCACAUUGGGACUGAGAUACGGCCCAG